GCACUGCUGACGGUCCCAAAUAGGACGAAACAGCUGUUCAGUGC
rfam:Echinostoma caproni strain Egypt genome assembly, scaffold: ECPE_scaffold0007275